UACGUAGGGGGCAAGCGUUGUCCGGAUUUAUUGGGCGUAAAGGGCGCGUAGGCGGUGCUGUAAGUCUGUGGUGAAAUCUCUGGGCUCAACUCAGAGUCUGCCAUAGAAACUGCAGUGCUGGAGUGUGGGAGAGGUGAGUGGAAUUCCCGGUGUAGCGGUGAAAUGCGUAGAUAUCAGGAAGAACACCCGUGGCGAAGGCGGCUCUCUGGGACGGUACUGACGCUGAGACGCGAAAGCGUGGGGAGCGAACAGG
rnacentral:rRNA from 1 species